GUAGGUGGCAAGCGUUGUCCGGGAAUUAUUGGGGCGUAAAGCGCGCGCAGGCGGUUCUUUCAGUCUGAUGUGAAAGCCCACGGGCUCAACCGUGGAGGGUCAUUGGAAACUGGAGAACUUGAGUACAGAAGAGGAAAGCGGAAUUCCACGUGUAGCGGUGAAAUGCGUAGAGAUGUGGAGGAACACCAGUGGCGAAGGCGGCUUUCUGGUCUGUAACUGACGCUGAGGCGCGAAAGCGUGGGGAGCAAACAGGAUUAGAUACCCUGGUAGUCCACGCCGUAAACGAUGAGUGCUAAGUGUUAGGGGGUUUCCGCCCCUUAGUGCUGCAGCUAACGCAUUAAGCACUCCGCCUGGGGAGUACGGCCGCAAAGGCUG
rnacentral:rRNA from 1 species